rnacentral:rRNA from 1 species
UACGUAGGGGGCAAGCGUUGUCCGGAAUCAUUGGGCGUAAAGCGCGUGUAGGCGGCCCGGAAAGUCUGGUGUGAAAACUUGAGGCUCAACCUCAAGCUGUCACUGGAUACUAUCGGGCUUGAGUCCGGAAGAGGAGAGUGGAAUUCCUGGUGUAGCGGUGGAAUGCGCAGAUAUCAGGAGGAACACCAAUGGCGAAGGCAGGUCUCUGGGCCACUACUGACGCUGAGAAGCGAAAGCAUGGGGAGCGAACAGG